rnacentral:rRNA from 1 species
GACGAACGCUGGCGGCGUGCUUAACACAUGCAAGUCGAGCGGUAAGGCCCUUCGGGUACGACGAGCGGCGAACGGGUGAGUAACACGUGGGUGACCUGCCUCUAGCUCUGGGAUAAGCCUGGGAAACUGGGUCUAAUACCGGAUAUGACUCCACGGCGCAUGUUGUGGGGUGGAAAGCCUUGUGUGGCUAGAGAUGGGCCCGCGGCCUAUCAGCUUGUUGGUGGGGUGAUGGCCUACCAAGGCGACGACGGGUAGCCGGCCUGAGAGGGCGACCGGCCACACUGGGACUGAGACACGGCCCAGACUCCUACGGGAGGGCAGCAGUGGGGAAUCUUGCGCAAUGGGCGAAAGCCUGACGCAGCGACGCCGCGUGAGGGAUGACGGCCCUCGGGUUGUAAACCUCUUUCAGCUCCGACGAAGCGAGAGUGACGGUAGGAGCAGAAGAAGCACC